rnacentral:rRNA from 1 species
UACGGGAGGCAGCAGUGGGGAAUAUUGCACAAUGGGGGAAACCCUGAUGCAGCCAUGCCGCGUGUGUGAAGAAGGCCUUCGGGUUGUAAAGCACUUUCAGUAGGGAGGAAGGUAGUGUAGUUAACACCUGCAUUAUUUGACGUUACCUACAGAAGAAGCACCGGCUAACUCCGUGCCAGCAGCCGCGGUAAUACGGAGGGUGCGAGCGUUAAUCGGAAUUACUGGGCGUAAAGCGCAUGCAGGCGGCCUGUUAAGUCAGAUGUGAAAGCCCCGGGGCUUAACCUCGGAAUUGCAUUUGAAACUGGCAGGCUAGAGUCUUGUAGAGGGGGUAGAAUUUCAGGUGUAGCGGUGAAAUGCGUAGAGAUCUGAAGGAAUACCAGUGGCGAAGGCGGCCCCCUGGACAAAGACUGACGCUCAGAUGCGAAAGCGUGGGGAGCAAACAGGAUUAGAUACCCUGGUAG